CCCGGGAGGUAGAGAAGCGGUUCCGUGGGUGGAAAGAGGCGAGGAUUCCGGGCACACCGAGAAAUGCCGCAGGACCGCCGAGCUCGCGCACGACGCCCCCAUAAGGACCUGCAAAGUCUGAGGGAAGCAAGAGAGCCCCCGGGUUCUGGGCGCUGGGAAUUCGAUCUUUCCCUGAUUGGUGAAGUAGAACAAUACGGCCCCGCCUUUCGCUCGGAGGAGAAAGAACAAGAAGUUGGGGUCUGAAAAUUGCUCUGUGCAGAGUGAGGAAUCCGGGCUAGAGUUGAUUGGCUGCUACCUUUCAUGCUCAAAGAGGACCAAAAUGGCAUCACUGUAUUAAAGCCUCCCAAAUCCUGAGCCAGCUCUGGAAAUGCAUGAAUAAACCUCAUCAUCUAUUAUGCAUCCCUGGAAAGUAUACUGCCAAGACUUAUGAGAGACCCUUGAACAGUAAGGAAAUGCAAUCAAUGCUUAAAGAAAUGAAUUCACUGGAAGGUCAAAUGCUGAAGCUUAAAUACUUUGGCCACAUAAGAAGAUAGAACUCAUUGGAAAAGAAUCCCGAUGUUGGUAAAGACUGAAAGCAAAAGAUAAAGGGGACAGCAGAGGGAUAAUAUGGAUAGAUAAUGUGUUGGAAAUAAUGAACAUGAACUUGGACAGACUUCAAAAGAUGGUGGAAGAUAGGAGAACCUGUUAUACUAUGAUCCAUGAAUAACAACAUAUUUUAAAAAUUUUAUUUUCC
rnacentral:lncRNA from 1 species